rnacentral:rRNA from 1 species
AUGCAGUCGACGGUAACGCGAGGAGCUUGCUCCUUGGCGACGAGUGGCGGACGGGUGAGUAAUACUUAGGAAUCUGCCCAUUAGUGGGGGACAACUCGAGGAAACUCGAGCUAAUACCGCAUACGCCCUACGGGGGAAAGCGGGGGUCUUCGGACCUCGCGCUAAUGGAUGAGCCUAAGUCGGAUUAGCUUGUUGGUGAGGUAAUGGCUCACCAAGGCGACGAUCCGUAGCUGGUCUGAGAGGACGAUCAGCCACACUGGGACUGAGACACGGCCCAGACUCCUACGGGAGGCAGCAGUGGGGAAUAUUGGACAAUGGGCGCAAGCCUGAUCCAGCAAUGCCGCGUGUGUGAAGAAGGCCUGCGGGUUGUAAAGCACUUUCAGUAGAGAAGAAAAGCCUAGGGUUAAUACCCCUGAGUCUUGACGUAACCUACAGAAGAAGCACCGGCUAACUCCGUGCCAGCAGCCGCGGUAAUACG